ensembl:misc_RNA Metazoa_SRP Metazoan signal recognition particle RNA
GCUGGGCGUGGUGGCACACGCCUGUAAUCCCAGCUACUCGGGAGGCUGAGGCAGGAGAAUCGCUUGAGCCUGGGAGACGGAGGUUGCAGUGAGCCGAGAUCACGCCAUUGCAUUCCAGCCUGGGCGACAGAGUGAGACCCUGUCUCAG